CUGUGCAGCUACAAACACUACCCUCUUUCACCUUAUUUCCACUUUUGCCUGUCCAGUAACCAGGAGUCAAGAAGUAGAAUGCUGACUUUCUCACACCAGAAAUAUUCGGAAUUAUGUUAUCCAAGUAAAUAGCAAGAACAAACCACAGAAAGAAUGUUACCACAAGCCAUAUGUAAAUCUCGUUCAUAGUUAUUACACACUCUGUAUCAUUAAAAG
rnacentral:misc_RNA from 1 species